rnacentral:rRNA from 1 species
UACGUAGGUGGCAAGCGUUAUCCGGAAUUACUGGGCGUAAAGCGCACGCAGGCGGUCGAUCAAGUCGAGUGUGAAAGCCCCCGGCUCAACUGGGGAGGGUCAUUCGAUACUGAUCGACUCGAAGGCAGGAGAGGGUAGUGGAAUUCCCGGUGUAGUGGUGAAAUGCGUAGAUAUCGGGAGGAACACCAGUGGCGAAGGCGACUACCUGGCCUGUUCUUGACGCUGAGGCGCGAAAGCUAGGGGAGCAAACGGG